rnacentral:rRNA from 1 species
AGUGAACGCUGGCGGCAGGCCUAACACAUGCAAGUCGGACGGCAGCACAGUAAGAUCUUGCUCUUACGGGUGGCGAGUGGCGGACGGGUGAGGAAUACAUCGGAAUCUACUUUUUCGUGGGUGAUAACGUAGGGAAACUUACGCUAAUACCGCAUACGGCCUACGGGUGAAAGCAGGAGAUCUUCGGACCUUGCGCGAUUGAAUGAGCCGAUGUCGGAUUAGCUAGUUGGCGGGGUAAAGGCCCACCAAGGCGACGAUCCGUAGCGGGUCUGAGAGGAUGAUCAGCCACACUGGAACUGAGACACGGUCCAGACUCCUACGGGAGGCAGCAGUGGGGAAUAUUGGACAAUGGGCGCAAGCCUGAUCCAGCCAUACCGCGUGGGUGAAGAAGGCCUUCGGGUUGUAAAGCCCUUUUGUUGGGAAAGAAAAGCAGCAGGUUAAUACCCCGCUGUUCUGACGGUACCCAAAGAAUAAGCACCGGCUAACUCCGUG